AUUGGGGAUUUGGAAUCCCUUGGGAAUCCCCUGGGAAUCCAUUGGGAAUUUGGAAUCCCUAGGAAUCUCUUGGGAAUUCAUUGGGAAUCCGUUAGGGAUUGGGACUCUGUUGAGAACCUGCUGGGAAUCCCUUGGGAAUCCCUUGGGAAUCCAUUGGGAAUCCAUUGGGAAUCCAUUGGGAAUUGGGAGACCACUGGGAAUCCAUUGGGAAUCCAUUGGGGAUCCAUUGGGAAUCCAUUGGGAAUCCAUUGGGGAAUUGGGAGACCACUGGGAAUCCAGUGGGGUUCCGCUGGGAAGCUGCUGGGGAUCCAUUGGGAGUCCACUGGGAAUCCAUUUGGAAUCCCUUGGGAAUUUGGGAUCUGCUGGGAAUCCAUUGGGAAUCUGCUGCAGAUCCAUUGGGAAUCGGUUGAGAACCUGCUGGGAAUCCAUUGGGGAUUUGGAAUCCCUUGGGAAUCCCCUGGGAAUCCAUUGGGAAUUUGGAAUCCCUAGGAAUCUCUUGGGAAUUCAUUGGGAAUCCGUUAGGGAUUGGGACUCUGUUGAGAACCUGCUGGGAAUCCCUUGGGAAUCCCUUGGGAAUCCAUUGGGAAUCCAUUGGGAAUCCAUUGGGAAUCGGAAAUCCGUUGAGAAUCCAUUUGGGAUCCACUGGAAAUCCAUUGGGAAUCCAUUGGGAAUCUGUUUGGAACUUGCUGGGAAUCCAUUGGGGAUUGGGGAUCUGCUGAGAACCUGCUGGGAAUCCCUUGGGAAUCUGCUGGAAAUCCAUUGGGAAUCCCCUGGGAAUCUGUUGAUAAUUGGAAAUCUGUUGGGAAUCCAUUUGGAAUCUGCUGGGAAUUGGGAGUCCACUGGGAAUCCAUUGGGAAUCUACUGUGGAUCCAUUGGGAAUCUGCUGGUGAUCCAUUGGGAACCCAUUGGGAAUCCAUUGGGAAUGCACGGGGAAUUGGGAAUCCCCUGGGAAUCUGUUGAGAAUUGGGAAUCCAUUGAGAACCCGCGGGGAAUUCCUUGGGAAUCUGCUGGGAAUCCAUUGGGGAUUGGGAAUCCAUUGGGAACCUGCUGGGAAUCCGUUGGGAAUUGGAAAUCCAUUGGGAAUCCAUUUGGAAUCCAUUGGGAAUGAUGGGAAUCCAUUGGGAAUCC
rnacentral:lncRNA from 1 species